rnacentral:rRNA from 1 species
ACGCUCGACACCUACGGGAGGCAGCAGUCGGGAAUAUUGCGCAAUGGAGGAAACUCUGACGCAGUGACGCCGCGUAUGGGAAGAAGGUUUUCGGAUUGUAAACCAUUUUAGACAGGGAAGAAAAAAGACAGUACCUGUAGAAUAAGCUCCGGCUAACUACGUGCUAGCAGCCGCGGUAAUCUGAGCGGGCUGGCAAGGC